rfam:Glycine max cultivar Williams 82 chromosome 18, whole genome shotgun sequence.
UUCUUAUUGGAUGAUGAGUGUUAUAUAUCGUGUUCCGAUUGGAUGUCAACUCUAUGAAAGAUGAAAUACAUUGUUGUUUUCAUUGAUCAAUCAGAACAUGACACGUGACAGUCAUCAUCC